rnacentral:lncRNA from 1 species
GCUUGCACACAGCUCUUCAUAGCAGCGCUGUUCCCGACCGAGAAGCAGAAAUCACCCGAACGCGCUGCGACACAUGAGCGCCGACAGCAGGUGCUGUGUCUGCUACGGAAAAACUGCCGGCGGCCCUGGUUCUGGAGUCGGAAUGGAGCCACUCACGCUGAAGCUCAGGAGCUCUGAACAAACGCACUCCGAGGCAGGCAGCAAGGGGCCUGACUACUAGUGACUCAGCCAGAAGGGGGUACUUUCCUUGGAAGACAGAACAGGUGGGGGAAGUUCUUGGCGCGGUUUCAGCGGCUGCAUGAAGACUUCGAGGACCUAAACGCCUCCUCACGU